AGAGAGAGACAUGCGCGCAUAUCAAUAAGCGGAGGAAAAGAAACUAACUAGGAUUCCCUUAGUAACGGCGAGUGAAGCGGGAAGAGCUCAAAUUUGAAAUCUUCAAGGUUCUACCUUGACGAAUUGUAGUUUAAAGAAGUGUUUUCUGCUGGAGUUUUGGUAAAAGUUCUUUGGAAUAGGACAUCAUAGAGGGUGAGAAUCCCGUAUUUGACCAUUAUUUUCAGCUUUGUGAUACACUUUCAAAGAGUCGGAUUGUUUGGGAAUGCAGUCCAAAAUGGGUGGUAAAUUUCAUCUAAAGCUAAAUAUUGGCGAGAGACCGAUAGCGAACAAGUACCGUGAGGGAAAGAUGAAAAGAACUUUGAAAAGAGAGUUAAACAGUACGUGAAAUUGUCAAAAGGGAAGCGUUUGACACCAGUGUUGUUUUCUCGAAAAUCAAUUAAAAAUGGCUCGAUUUUGUAUUGUUGAGACCUUAAAAGCUCACUGUACAUUUUUCGUGUCUUUUUUAAUGCACUUUUCGUUUAACAAGUCAACAUCAGUUUCUUUUGUUGUAAAAGGGUCAUUGGAAGGUGGCUUUCUUUUCGGAGAAAGUGUUUAUAGCCUUUGGCCUCUGCAAUCGAAGAGACUGAGGUCUGCAGCGUAGGACUCUUCGGGGUUAGAUACAUUUGUGCUAAGUUAUAGCUUUUUAUAGACAACUUGUUGACUAUAAUUAGUCUUGUAGCUUACUCGCUUAUGCUAUUUUACCUACGCUUAGGAUGUUGAGUCGUAGAGCACGCAG
rnacentral:rRNA from 1 species